rnacentral:rRNA from 1 species
AUUGAACGCUGGCGGCGUGCUUAACACAUGCAAGUCGAACGGAGUGGCGAACGGGUGAGUAACACGUGGGUGACCUGCCCUGCACUUCGGGAUAAGCCUGGGAAACUGCGUCUAAUACCGGAGAGUGGGGGAUGGGCCCGCGGCCUAUCAGCUUGUUGGUGGGGUAAUGGCCUACCAAGGCGGCGACGGGUAGCCGGCAUGAGAGGGUGGACGGCCACAUUGGGACUGAGACACGGCCCAGACUGCUACGGGAGGCAGCAGGGGGGAAUAUUGCCCAGUGGGCGGAAGCCUGAGACAGCGACGCCGGGUGGGGGAUGACGGCCUUCGGGUUGUAAACUCCUUUCACCAUCGACGCGGUAGAUGGAGAAGAAGCACCGGCUAACUACGUGCCAGACGCCGCGGUAAUAC